AGUGAUAAGAUCCGUAGUCGAAAGGGAAACAGCCCAGACCACCAGUUAAGGUCCCCAAAUAUAUGUUAAGUGGAAAAGGAUGUGGGGUUGCUUAGACAACCAGGAUGUUGGCUUAGAAGCAGCCACCAUUGAAAGAGUGCGUAAUAGCUCACUGGUCGAGUGACCCCGCGCCGAAAAUGUACCGGGGCUAAACAUAUUACCGAAACUGUGGAUGAACCUCUUUAGAGGUUCGUGGUAGGAGAGCGUUCUAAGGGCGGUGAAGUCAGACCGGAAGGACUGGUGGAGCGCUUAGAAGUGAGAAUGCCGGUAUGAGUAGCGAAAGAAGGGUGAGAAUCCCUUCCACCGAAUAUCUAAGGUUUCCUGAGGAAGGCUCGUCCGCUCAGGGUUAGUCGGGACCUAAGCCGAGGCCGAUAGGCGUAGGCGAUGGACAACAGGUAGAGAUUCCUGUACCAGUGCUAAUUGUUUAACCGAUGGGGUGACACAGAAGGAUAGGGAAUCGCACGAAUGGAAAUGUGCGUCCAAGCAGUGAGUGUGAGAAGUAGGCAAAUCCGCUUCUCGCGAAGCAUGAGCUGUGAUGGGGAAGGAAAUUAAGUACGGAAGUUCCUGAUUUCACGCUGUCAAGAAAAGCCUCUAGGAAGAGUAGUACUGCCCGUACCGCAAACCGACACAGGUAGAUGAGGAGAGAAUCCUAAGGUGAGCGAGAGAACUCUCGUUAAGGAACUCGGCAAAAUGACCCCGUAACUUCGGGAGAAGGGGUGCUCUAUUAGGGUGCAAGCCCGAGAGAGCCGCAGUGAAUAGGCCCAGGCGACUGUUUAGCAAAAACACAGGUCUCUGCAAAACCGUAAGGUGACGUAUAGGGGCUGACGCCUGCCCGGUGCUGGAAGGUUAAGAGGAGUGCUUAGCUUCGGCGAAGGUACGAAUUGAAGCCCCAGUAAACGGCGGCCGUAACUAUAACGGUCCUAAGGUAGCGAAAUUCCUUGUCGGGUAAGUUCCGACCCGCACGAAAGGCGCAACGAUCUGGGCACUGUCUCAACGAGAGACUCGGUGAAAUUAUAGUACCUGUGAAGAUGCAGGUUACCCGCGACAGGACGGAAAGACCCCGUGGAGCUUUACUGCAACCUGAUAUGGAAUGUUUGUACCGCUUGUACAGGAUAGGUAGGAGCCGAAGAGACGUGUGCGCUAGCAUACGAGGAGGCAAUGGUGGGAUACUACCCUGGCUGUAUGACCAUUCUAACCCGCCACGCUUAGCGCGUGGGGAGACAGUGUCAGGUGGGCAGUUUGACUGGGGCGGUCGCCUCCUAAAGAGUAACGGAGGCGCCCAAAGGUUCCCUCAGAAUGGAUGGAAAUCAUUCGCAGAGUGUAAAGGCACAAGGGAGCUUGACUGCGAGACUGACAAGUCGAGCAGGGACGAAAGUCGGGCUUAGUGAUCCGGUGGUUCCGCAUGGAAGGGCCAUCGCUCAACGGAUAAAAGCUACCCCGGGGAUAACAGGCUUAUCUCCCCCAAGAGUCCACAUCGACGGGGAGGUUUGGCACCUCGAUGUCGGCUCGUCGCAUCCUGGGGCUGUAGUCGGUCCCAAGGGUUGGGCUGUUCGCCCAUUAAAGCGGCACGCGAGCUGGGUUCAGAACGUCGUGAGACAGUUCGGUCCCUAUCCGUCGCGGGCGCAGGAAAUUUGAGAGGAGCUGUCCUUAGUACGAGAGGACCGGGAUGGACACACCGCUGGUGUACCAGUUGUUCCGCCAGGAGCAUCGCUGGGUAGCUAUGUGUGGCAGGGAUAAACGCUGAAAGCAUCUAAGCGUGAAGCCCCCCUCAAGAUGAGAUUUCCCAUUUCUUCGGAAAGUAAGAUCCCUGAAAGAUGAUCAGGUAGAUAGGUUUGGAGUGGAAGUGUAGCGAUACAUGGAGCGGACAAAUACUAAUCGAUCGAGGACUUAACCAAAA
rnacentral:rRNA from 1 species